rnacentral:misc_RNA from 1 species
AAGGAUAAGUAUGUAUACAAAUCUUAUGGAAUAUUUGUUCGUAUAUUGCGGUCGUCUUGCCUCAAUCUGCAUGGGAAUAACGCCAUGAUAUACUACAUACAAAGUCCUUUAUCCGUAGUCUAGUUAAUAAGAAGAGUUUUUAUAUUUAUAUUUAUGGAAUGAGCAAAGAAAACUUAUUCUUUCCGAAGAGAGAACUCUUACACGUCUCCUUCCUCCUUUUAACAGAGAAGAAGAAGAAGAAUAAAAGAGAAAGAGAGGGAAAAAUGUAGAAGAAGAGAAAAAGAAGCAGCAAAAGACGAAAACCGAGGCCUUUCUUUCUUUUUUAGUCUCUGCUUAACAGCUCUUUUGAUUUGUUUUCAUUUUUAUCCUGGAGUGAAGAUGGGAAUAAUAUCUAAUAUUAUUGAAGAAGAAGAUACGAGACUCUUUUAUUUCUUAUUUUAAAAAACAAAACACAUCUUAUUUAACAAGUUUUUUAUUCUCAAAUUUCAUUCUCAAAACACAGUCUUACCAAUGUACAACUGACAAUCGACUACAACUUCUACUCCAACAACCAUAUGAGCCACCAUGCCCAAAGAAGUUGUUCCCUUCUCCGGACUAUCUCCUCUAGUCCCCGUCCUAUCUCUACUUCUUUUUGGAAUCUUGUUCACAAAAGUGGAAUCCGUCGCAGAAUGCAUGUCUGGAAAUAGUGUCAAGUGCUUUGAAUGUAAUUCACGAGAAGACUUUCGUUGCAAUGAUCCAUUUAAUUGGACAACACUUCCUCUUGUAGAGGACUGUACAGGAUGCUGUGUCAAAAUGGUUCAAGAUAUUGGGACGGAAAAAGAAUUCGUUCGAAGGACUUGUACAAACUAUAUCGAAAUAAAUCUCUUUAUCGUGGACCACGUCUGUAUGAAAGAGAAAAGAGGCAAAGGGAAGGCCUGUUAUUGUGAAACAAAUGAAUGCAAUGGAACUAUUAAAUAUCUUCGUCCUAAUGAGGGCCUACUCCCUCUGAGUCUUCUCUUCCUAACCCUUGUAUCAGCAAUAUCUUCCAACUUGAUUAGCUCCUUCUCUUCUUAUCCCCCAACAAUUGCUGCUGUAGCUUCUCUUGAAGUGACUUAAAAGAAGGAACCAUCAGGAACCCUCAUUUCAGCUCAGCUCAGCUCAGCAAUGUCCACUACUAAAAGUACUAAGGAUCAAAAGUAACCUGGUUUGCUUUUCAAACUUUUUUCGAAUUUUAAUUACAGCUACAGGGGGGUUUACAGGAUAAUAUUUUGGGAGGGGCCUAGUUUUUGUAUGUUUAAAAAAAAUACAACAC